AACGCGGUCUAGUAUAAGCAAUUAUACCGCGAAACUGCGAAUGGCUCAUUAAAUCAGUUAUCGUUUAUUUGAUAGUACCUUACUACAUGGAUAACCGUGGUAAUUCUAGAGCUAAUACAUGCUAAAAAUCCCGACUUCGGAAGGGAUGUAUUUAUUAGAUUAAAAACCAAUGCCCUUCGGGGCUCUCUGGUGAUUCAUAAUAACUUCUCGAAUCGCACGGCCUUGCGCCGGCGAUGGUUCAUUCAAAUUUCUGCCCUAUCAACUUUCGACGGCUGGGUCUUGGCCAGCCGUGGUGACAACGGGUAACGGAGGGUUAGGGCUCGACCCCGGAGAAGGAGCCUGAGAAACGGCUACUACAUCCAAGGAAGGCAGCAGGCGCGCAAAUUACCCAAUCCCGACACGGGGAGGUAGUGACAAUAAAUACUGAUACAGGGCUCUUUCGGGUCUUGUAAUUGGAAUGAGUACAAUUUAAAUCCCUUAACGAGGAACAAUUGGAGGGCAAGUCUGGUGCCAGCAGCCGCGGUAAUUCCAGCUCCAAUAGCGUAUAUUAAAGUUGUUGAGGUUAAAAAGCUCGUAGUUGAACCUUGGGCCUAGCCGGCCGGUCCGCCUCACCGCGUGCACUGGCUCGGCUGGGUCUUUCCUUCUGGAGAACCGCAUGCCCUUCACUGGGUGUGCCGGGGAACCAGGACUUUUACUCUGAAUAAAUUAGAUCGCUUAAAGAAGGCCUAUGCUCGAAUACAUUAGCAUGGAAUAAUAGAAUAGGACGUGUGGUUCUAUUUUGUUGGUUUCUAGGACCGCCGUAAUGAUUAAUAGGGACAGUCGGGGGCAUCAGUAUUCAAUUGUCAGAGGUGAAAUUCUUGGAUUUAUUGAAGACUAACUACUGCGAAAGCAUUUGCCAAGGAUGUUUUCAUUAAUCAGGAACGAAAGUUAGGGGAUCGAAGACGAUCAGAUACCGUCGUAGUCUUAACCAUAAACUAAGCCGAUUAGGGAUCGGACGGCGUUAUUUUUGACCGGUCGCCCCUUACGAUAAUUCAAAAGGUUGGGCUCCUGGGGGAAUUGGGCCCAGGCUGAAACUUAAGAAAUUGACGGAGGGGCACACGGGGGUGGAACCGGCGCUUAUUUGACCCACCCGGGGAAAUCUCCCAGCCCCAAACCAAAAAGAAAUAAAAAAAAUAAACUUUUUUUUUUUUUCCGCGGGGGGGGGCGCGGGCCCCCCUAUAAUGGGGGGGAAUUUUUUGUUUUUUAUAUGACAAAAAAAGACGAAAACAACAAAAAAAGAAGAAAGAGGGCGGGUUUUGUUGUGCAAAAAUAG
rnacentral:rRNA from 1 species